GAGUAUGUAUAUGAGGUAAUGUGAGUGACCUUUUAAAGUAUUUGAGAUUAUUAGUAAUGAUAUAGAAGAUGGACAAAAGAUAUGAAUAUAUUUUUGCGAUUGGAGUUUUGUCGAAGCUUCGUAAGUUCUCUAGUUACGUUUAAGGUUAUUGUGAUUCUCCGGACCCUUCGAGAUGUGUAUGGAUUGUUAUGUAUGUAUAUGAUUAUGUAUAUGAAUGUAUAAGAGGUUACAUGAGGGUUGGAAAAGGAUUAUAAGUUAAACGAAUCUGAACGAAAUGAAUCGGAACAACUUCAGAAAAAAUCUCGGACCAGAUUUUUAGCCCAUAUUGUUGGAGGCAUACCUCCUAGUAUAUGAGGAGUUUUAAGGUGUUUCAAAAGCCUAAAAUGAAGUUCAUCGAGUCUAGUUUUCAACGCAACAAACCGCUCGUCAAAAUGAUAUCGGAAUAAGGAGAUAUGGACGAUGCAAGUUGGGCUGGCGGGGCAGAAACUGGAGACCCGAUCCAAACACUCAUAUUUCGGCCCAUGAGGCCCAUUAAACUUAAUAUAUAAGUCACCACUUCUCCCUAUAUCACCUAACACGACCAAAAACAGAUCCAAGGACCCUUAUUUUCUCUCCUAAACCCCCUUUCUAAUUGAGCCAUCAUAUAAGCUAAAUCCUAGACCCUUGACAUGAUAUUAGUUAAAGAGAAGUUGUAGCCUAAGUUUUCUUUGUGUUGUUAAGCAAGCAGCUGGAAAGAGGAACAAUAUUCUUGAAGAUUCUGAUUGUUAAAGGAAACGUUGAUAUGCAAGCUAGAGAGAGAGAAAGCAUAAGCCAUGGCAUUCGGCCAUGGCUAGAAAAAUUGGAGCUCAAAUUUGUUGAUCUAAAAAUCAGAUUUUCUAGUUAUUUCAUCCCUUAUGAAGGUGAUAAUAACAUGGAGAAGUCAUUUGGAGCAACAAGAACAAGUAUUAGUUCAUUUCACAAAUUCUAGCUAAGUGGAA